rnacentral:snoRNA from 2 species
GACCUCUCAGAGUCCCAUCUGGAGAGUUUCCAGUGCUCUACCAGUCUCGACUGUGGGAGGGAGAGUCAAGCAGAGGCAUAUCCAUCCAAUUCCUAGCUUGGCCAGUGGCUAGCGAGUGGAAGGCAAUCUGCUACAAGU